AUGCAGCCAUGCCGCGUGUGUGAAGAAGGCCUUCGGGUUGUAAAGCACUUUCAGUUGUGAGGAAAAGUUAGUAGUUAAUACCUGCUAGCCGUGACGUUAACAACAGAAGAAGCACCGGCUAACUCCGUGCCAGCAGCCGCGGUAAUACGGAGGGUGCGAGCGUUAAUCGGAAUUACUGGGCGUAAAGCGCACGCAGGCGGUUUGUUAAGCUAGAUGUGAAAGCCCCGGGCUCAACCUGGGAUGGUCAUUUAGAACUGGCAGACUAGAGUCUUGGAGAGGGGAGUGGAAUUCCAGGUGUAGCGGUGAAAUGCGUAGAUAUCUGGAGGAACAUCAGUGGCGAAGGCGACUCCCUGGCCAAAGACUGACGCUCAUGUGCGAAAGUGUGGGUAGCGAACAGGAUUAGAUACCCUGGUAGUCCACACCGUAAACGCUGUCUACUAGCUGUGUGUGUCUUUAAGACGUGCGUAGCGAAGCUAACGCGCUAAGUAGACCGCCUGGGGAGUACGGCCGCAAGGUUAAAACUCAAAUGAAUUGACGGGGGCCCGCACAAGCGGUGGAGCAUGUGGUUUAAUUCGAUGCAA
rnacentral:rRNA from 1 species